rnacentral:rRNA from 1 species
AGAGUUUGAUCCUGGCUCAGGACGAACGCUGGCGGCGUGCUUAACACAUGCAAGUCAAGGAGAACGGAUCCUUCGGGAUACUAUUAAACUGGCGAACGGGUGAGUAACACGUAGGCAACUUGCCUUGGAGAUUGGGAUAACCCCGGGAAACCGGGACUAAUACCAAAUAAUGCAGCGUAUCCUUCGGGAUAUGUUGUUAAAGUGGGCUUCGGCUCACACUUCAAGAUGGGCCUGCGUCCGAUUAGCUUGUUGGUGAGGUAAUGGCUCACCAAGGCGAUAAUCGGUAGCUGGUCUGAGAGGAUGAUCAGCCACACUGGGAUUGAGAUACGGCCCAGACUCCUACGGGAGGCAGCAGUGGGGAAUUUUGCGCAAUGGACGAAAGUCUGACGCAGCAACGCCGCGUGAUUGAUGAAGCUUUUAGGAGUGUAAAGAUCUGUCGUGAGGGAAGAAAAAUCUGGAUGUUAAUAAUGUUCAGACUUGACGGUACCUCAUAAGAAAGCACCGGCUAACUUCGUGCCAGCAGCCGCGGUAAUACGAGGGGUGCUAGCGUUGUCCGGAAUUACUGGGCGUAAAGGGUUCGUAGGCGUCUUGCCAAGUUGAUCGUUACAGCCACCGGCUUAACCGGUGAUCUGCGAUCAAAACUGGCGAGAUAGAAUAUGUGAGGGGAAUGUGGAAUUCCUGGUGUAGCGGUGACAUGCGUAGAUAUCAGGAGGAACACCAAUGGCGAAGGCAGCAUUCUGGCACAAUAUUGACGCUGAGGGACGAAAGCGUGGGGAGCAAACAGGAUUAGAUACCCUGGUAGUCCACGCCGUAAACGAUGAGUACUUGGUGGUGGGGGAUUCGACCCCUUCACUAUCGGAGCUAACGCGUUAAGUACUCCGCCUGGGGACUACGGCCGCAAGGCUGAAACUCAAAGGAAUUGACGGGGACCCGCACAAGCGGUGGAACAUGUGGUUUAAUUCGAUGCAACGCGAAGAACUUUACCUGGACUUGACAUGUUCGUCGCGACUCUAAGAGAUUAGAGUUUUCGGUUCGGCCGGACGAAACACAGGUGCUGCAUGGCUGUCGUCAGCUCGUGUCGUGAGAUGUUGGGUUAAGUCCCGCAACGAGCGCAACCCUCACUUUUAGUUGCUACCAUUUAGUUGGGCACUCUGAAAGAACUGCCAGUGAUAAGCUGGAGGAAGGUGGGGAUGACGUCAAGUCCUCAUGGCCCUUACGUGUUGGGCUACACACGUGCUACAAUGGCAUCUACAACAGGAAGCAAGAAUGCGAAUUUAAGCAAAUCCCUAAAAGAUGCCUCAGUUCGGAUUGUACUCUGCAACUCGAGUACAUGAAGCUGGAAUUACUAGUAAUCGCGGAUCAGCGUGCCGCGGUGAAUACGUUCCCGGGUCUUGUACACACCGCCCGUCACACCAUGGGAGUUGGUUCUACCUUAAGGCAAAAUGUUAACCUUCGGGAAGCAUUUGACCACGGUAUAGUCAGCGACUGGGGUGAAGUCGUAACAAGG